ACGGGGUGCACCAGGCGCGAACACUUUACAAUGCGGGAAACCGCGAUAAGGGAACCCCGAGUGCCAGCAUCAAAUGUUGGCUGUCCAGAUGAUUAAAAAUCAUUUGUUAGCAAGGGCCGGGCAAGACCGGUGCCAGCCGCCGCGGUAACACCGGCGGCCCGAGUGGUAGCCGUUUUUAUUGGGUCUAAAGGGUCCGUAGCCGGCCUGAUAAGUCCUUUGGGAAAUCUGGCAGCUUAACUGUCAGGCUUCUAAGGGAUACUGUCAGGCUUGGGACCGGAAGAGGUAAGGGGUACUCCAGGGGUAGGAGUGAAAUCUUGUAAUCCCUGGGGGACCAUCUGUGGCGAAGGCGCCUUACCAGAACGGGUCCGACGGUGAGGGACGAAAGCUAGGGGAGCAAACCGGAUUAGAUACCCGGGUAGUCCUAGCUGUAAACGAUGCUCGCUAGGUGUCAGACACGGUGCGACCGUGUUUGGUGCCGCAGGGAAGCCGUUAAGCGAGCCACCUGGAAGUACGUCGCAAGGC
rnacentral:rRNA from 1 species